AGGUCGGGAGGUGCCCUGUGGGACGGACAUCAUGAAUAGACCGAAUCGUAUCAUCUCGUAGGGAUAGGCACCGUGGCCCGACGGUGACUGU
rnacentral:ncRNA from 1 species